rnacentral:rRNA from 1 species
GGACUACUAGGGUUUCUAAUCCCGUUUGCUCCCCUAGCUUUCGCGCUUUAGCGUCAGUAUCGGGCCAGAUGUGCGCCUUCGCCACCGGUGUUCCUCCUGAUAUCUACGCAUUUCACCGCUACACCAGGAAUUCCCACAUCCUCUCCCGUACUCAAGCCAAGCAGUAUGAGAUGCCGGUCCUCGGGUGAGCCGAGGCAUUUCACAUCUCACUUACCUGACCGCCUAGACGCCCUUUACGCCCAGUGAUUCCGAACAACGCUUGCUCCCCCCGUGUUACCGCGGCGGCUGGCAC